rnacentral:rRNA from 1 species
AGUGAACGCUGGCGGCAGGCCUAACACAUGCAAGUCGAACGGCAGCACAGUAAGAGCUUGCUCUUACGGGUGGCGAGUGGCGGACGGGUGGGGAAUACAUCGGAAUCUACUUUUUCGUGGGGGAUAACGUAGGGAAACUUACGCUAAUACCGCAUACGACCUACGGGUGAAAGCAGGGGAUCUUCGGACCUUUCGUGAUUGUAUGAGCCGAUGUCGGAUUAGCUAGUUGGCGGGGUAAAGGCCCACCAAGGCGACGAUCCGUAGCUGGUCUGAGAGGAUGAUCAGCCACACUGGAACUGAGACACGGUCCAGACUCCUACGGGAGGCAGCAGUGGGGAAUAUUGGACAAUGGGCGCAAGCCUGAUCCAGCCAUACCGCGUGGGUGAAGAAGGUCUUCGGAUUGUAAAGCCCUUUUGUUGGGAAAGAAAAGCAGCAUGUUAAUACCCCGCUGUUCUGACGGUACCCAAAGAAUAAGCACCGGCUAACUUCGUG